rnacentral:snRNA from 11 species
AGCUUUGUGCAGUGGCAGUAUCGUAGCCAAUGAGGUUUAUCCGAGGCGCGAUUAUUGCUAAUUGAAAGCAGUAUAUAGGUGUGCUUCAUAUAAUUCUUAUUCUUGCAACUUUCCCCCCAAGCUUAAAAUUACUUACAUGUAAAAGGUAAUAACAAACAAGAUAUAUUUCUGAGUUCAUUUUAGUCAAUCACAUGUGC